GGGGGCCUACGGGGCGCAGCAGUGGGGAAUAUUGCACAAUGGGGGGAACCCUGAUGCAGCGACGCCGCGUGAGUGAAGAAGUAUUUCGGUAUGUAAAGCUCUAUCAGCAGGGAAGAAGAUGACGGUACCUGACUAAGAAGCCCCGGCUAACUACGUGCCAGCAGCCGCGGUAAUACGUAGGGGGCAAGCGUUAUCCGGAUUUACUGGGUGUAAAGGGUGCGUAGGUGGCAGGGCAAGUCAGAUGUGAAAGCCCGGGGCUCAACCCCGGUACUGCAUUUGAAACUGUCCAGCUGGAGUGCAGGCGG
rnacentral:rRNA from 1 species